rnacentral:rRNA from 1 species
UAGGGAAUCUUCGGCAAUGGACGAAAGUCUGACCGAGCAACGCCGCGUGAGUGAAGAAGGUUUUCGGAUCGUAAAACUCUGUUGUUAGAGAAGAACAAGGACGUUAGUAACUGAACGUCCCCUGACGGUAUCUAACCAGAAAGCCACGGCUAACUACGUGCCAGCAGCCGCGGUAAUACGUAGGUGGCAAGCGUUGUCCGGAUUUAUUGGGCGUAAAGCGAGCGCAGGCGGUUUCUUAAGUCUGAUGUGAAAGCCCCCGGCUCAACCGGGGAGGGUCAUUGGAAAAUGGGGGACUGGAGUGCAGAAGAGGAGAGUGGAAUUCCAUGUGUAGCGGUGUAAUGCGUAGAUAUAUGGAGGAACACCAGUGGCGAAGGCGGCUCUCUGGUCUGUAACUGACGCUGAGGCUCGAAAGCGUGGGGAGCAAACAGG